GACGAACGCUGGCGGCGUGCUUAACACAUGCAAGUCGAACGGAAAGGCCCUGCUUUUGUGGGGUGCUCGAGUGGCGAACGGGUGAGUAACACGUGAGUAACCUGCCCUUGACUUUGGGAUAACUUCAGGAAACUGGGGCUAAUACCGGAUAGGAGCUCCUGCUGCAUGGUGGGGGUUGGAAAGUUUCGGCGGUUGGGGAUGGACUCGCGGCUUAUCAGCUUGUUGGUGGGGUAGUGGCUUACCAAGGCUUUGACGGGUAGCCGGCCUGAGAGGGUGACCGGCCACAUUGUGACUGAGGUACGGCCCAGACUCCUACGGGAGGCAGCAGUGGGGAAUAUUGCACAAUGGGCGGAAGCCUGAUGCAGCAACGCCGCGUGCGGGAUGACGGCCUUCGGGUUGUAAACCGCUUUCGCCUGUGACGAAGCGUGAGUGACGGUAAUGGGUAAAGAAGCACCGGCUAACUACGUG
rnacentral:rRNA from 1 species